CUCUCUCUCUCUCUCUUUAAAAAGAAAAAGAAAAAGAAAAUUUGGACUCCAAAAAACUGGAAGAUCUGGAAAACAUCGACACAUUUCUAGACACAUAUGACCUGCUCAAAUUGAAUCAGGAAGAUACAGAAAACCUAAACAGACUAUUAUCAAGUAAUGAAAUUGAAAUAGCAUUUAAAAGUCUUCCAAAAACAAAAAGCCCAAGACUUGAUGGAUUCUCAGUUGAAUUCUACCAGACCUUUACAGAAGAACAUCAGUCUUUCUCAAAUUAUUCCAUGAAAUUGAAAGACAGGAACACUCCCAAAUACAUGUUAUGAAGCCAGUAUAAUAAGCCUGAUAUCAAAACCAGACAAAGACAAAUCAAGGAAAGAAAACUACAGACCAACAUUCCUAAUGAACAUAAAUACAAAAAUCCUUAAUAAAUAUUAGAAAGCCUCAUUCAAAACCACAUCAAAAAGAUAAUACACCAUGAUCAAGUGGGGUUCAUUCCAGGGAUGCAAGGUUGGUUCAACAUAUACAAAUCAAUAAAUGUAACUCACCACUUAAACAGAAUUAAGGACAAAAAUCACAUGAUCAUCUCAAUAGAUGCAGAAAAAGCCUACGAUAAAAUCCAACACCUAUUCAUGUUAAAAAUGCUGGAGAAGCAAGGAAUCAAAGAAACUUACCCAACACUGUGAAGGCCAUUUAUGACAACCCCAAAGCCAACAUUAUACUAAAUGGAGAAAAACUAAAAUCAUUUCCUCUAAAAUCAGGAACAAGACAAGUCUGUCCACUCUCACCACUCCUAUUCAAUAUAGUUUUCAAAACAUUAGCCAGAGCAAUCAGACAAGGACAUCAAUGGGAUACAAAAAGAAGUCAAACUGUUUGCUGAUGAUAUGAUCCUAUAUCUAGAAGACUCAAAAAAACUCCACCAGAAGCCUUCUAGAGCUUAUAAAUGAGUUUAGCAAAGCAGCAGGAUACAAGAUCAACCCUCAUAACAAUAGCUUUCCUACUUGAAUAGUUAUUCAGCCAAGGAAAAAAUCAGGAAAACCAUCCCAUUCACAAUAACCUAAAAAAAAAACACUUGAGAAUUAAUCUAAUCAAAGAGAUAAAGAGGUAUACAAUGAAAUUAUAGAAUACUGAAGAAAUUAAAGGCCUUAGAACAUGGAAGGGUAUCCCCUGUUUUUAAAUAGGCAGAAUCAAUAUUGUCAAAAUGGCCACACAACAAAAGCAAUUCCCCUCAAAAUACCAAUGACAUUCUUCACGGAAUUAGAAGAAAAGAAUUCUUUUAUUCAUUUGGAAAAUAAGAGACCCAGAAUAGCCAAGACAAUCCUAAGCAAGAAACAUGAAGCAGGAAAUAUCACAAUACCUGAUCUGAAAUUAUACUACAGAGCUGUAGUAACAAAAACAGCAUGGUGUUGGCAUCAAGAUAGAUAUGAAGAUCAAUGGAACAGAAUAGAAAACACAGAAACAAAUCCAUACCCCCAUAGCCAUCUGAUUUUAUUUUAUUUUAUUUUAAUUUUUAUUUAUUUAUUUAUUUAUUUAUUUAUUUUGCUACUGGGGAUUGAACUCAGGGGGCACUCAACCCUUGAGCCACAUCCCCAGCCCUAUUUUGUGUUUUAUUUAGAGACAGGGUCUCAGUGAAUUUCUUAACACCUUGCUUUUUGUUGAGGUUGGAUUUGAACUCACCAUCCCUCCUGUUUCAGUCUCCCGAGCCACUGGGAUUACAGGCAUGUGCCACCGUGCCUGGCAGCCAUAUGUUAUUUGACAAAGGAGCCAAAAAAAUAUAUUUUGGAGAAGAGACAGUCUUUUCAACAAAUGGUGCUGGGAAAACUAGACAGCUACAUGUAGAAAAAUGAAACUACACCCCAAUCUCUCACCAUGCACAAAACUCAAAUUGAAAUGAAUCCAAGACUUAGGAAUUACACCAGAAACUUUACAACUGUUAGAAAUACUCCAUCACAUUGGUGCUGGCACUGACUUCCUUAAUAAGACCCCAAAAGCAAAAGAAAUAAAACCAAGAAUAAAUAAGUGGAAUGCCAUCAAGCUAAAAAGCCCCCGCACAGCAAAGGAAAUGAUUAAAAGCAUGAAGAUAGAUCCUACAGAAUGGGAAAAAAUCUUGGCCAGCUACUCAACUGACAAGGGAUUAAUAUCCAGAAUAUACAAAAAGCUCAAAAAACUUAGCACACACACAAAGAAUAUCCCAACAAAUAAAUGGAUGAAAGAACUGAAUAGAAACUUCUCAAAAGAAGAAACACAGCUGGGCAUGGAGGCAUACACCUGUAAUCCUAGUGGCUUAGGAGACUGAGGCAGUAUGAUCACACGUUCAAAGCCAAACUCAGCAACUUAGUGAGACUAUAAACAACCUAGUGAGACCCUGUCUCAAAAUUAAAAAUAAAAAUAAAGGGAUGGGGAUGUGUGUCAGUGGUUAAGCACUCUUGGGUUCAAUCCCUGGUACUCAGAUGCUCAUCAAUAGAUGAAUGGAGCCAGGCACAGUGGCACAUACACAGGGGUGGGUCAGGAGGCUGAGGCAGGAGGAUUGCAAGUUCAAAGCCAGCCUCAGCAAAGGCAAAGCACUAAGCAAUUCAAUGAGACCCUGACUCUAAACAAAAUACAAACUAGGGCUGGAGAUGUGGCUCAGGGAUCAAGUGCCUCAGAGUACAAUCAGCAGUACAAAAAAAAAAAAAAAGAUGAAUGGAUUAAGAAAUUGUGAUACACACACACACACACCAAAUAGAGUUCUACUCAGCCAUAAAAAAAAUGAAACUAUGGCACUUGACAAUAAAUGGAUGGAAAUGGAGAAUCUUAUGCUAAAUUUUAAAAACCACAUUCAGAAACUCAAAGAUCAAAUGUUUUCUCUCAUAUGCAGAAGCUAGACUAAAAUCAAAGAAACAGGAGGGAAUGAUAGGAUAACAUAAAGAACCAAUCAAAUACAAAUUAAUAGAUAAGUGAAAGGAAGUCUAGUAGAAGCAGGAGAAAGGGAGAAGGGAGGAAAAACAGGAGGGAAAAGGGGGAACUGAACUGACUUCAUGAACUGAAAUCAAUUUCCAUGCAUGUGUGAGUUUGUCAGGGUGAACCGUACUACUAUGUUUAAAGCUCUAAUUUAAAAAAUACAGAUAUUGGGCUGGGGAUGUGGCUCACGUGGUAGCACACUCACCUGGCAUGCACGGGGCACUGGGUUCAAACCUCAGC
rnacentral:lncRNA from 1 species